CAUUCUGUGUGAUUCUUUUGUAUAUUCCUUUGAUUUUUGGCCUUCAUUUUCAAUCAGUCUUCUGUCUUCUUUGGUUUUACUUACAUAAGGAUUACAGAUAGGUGUUGGAUGAGAGGUUGUUUAUGGUGUGCCCUCCUCCUUCCUGUACUAGUCAUAAACAAAAUUCCAAACUUUCUAGGAAUAUACAAAAGAAUCACACAGAAUGAUUCAAAGGUGUCGGUGGCUGAAUCAAUCAAGAGUCAGAAUCUGUUGUAACAGUUGAACUAGUC
rnacentral:misc_RNA from 1 species